rnacentral:tRNA from 11 species
UCUGCUUACCAUGCUUGUGAAUUAAGGCUAUA